UACGGGGGGGAGCAAGCGUUGUUCGGAUUUACUGGGCGUAAAGGGCGCGUAGGCGGCCAGCACAAGUCAGUUGUGAAAUCUCCGAGCUUAACUCGGAAAGGUCAACUGAUACUGUGCGGCUAGAGUGCGGAAGGGGCAACUGGAAUUCUUGGUGUAGCGGUGAAAUGCGUAGAUAUCAAGAGGAACACCUGCGGCGAAGGCGGGUCUCUGGGAAGUAACUGACGCUGAGGCGCGAAAGC
rnacentral:rRNA from 1 species